rnacentral:rRNA from 1 species
AGUGAACGCUGGCGGUAGGCCUAACACAUGCAAGUCGAACGGCAGCACAGUAAGAGCUUGCUCUUACGGGUGGCGAGUGGCGGACGGGUGAGGAAUACAUCGGAAUCUACUUUUUCGUGGGGGAUAACGUAGUGAAACUUACGCUAAUACCGCAUACGACCUACGGGUGAAAGCAGGGGAUCUUCGGACCUUGCGCGAUUGAAUGAGCCGAUGUCGGAUUAGCUAGUUGGCGGGGUAAAGGCCCAACAAGGCGACGAUCCGUAGCUGGUCUGAGAGGAUGAUCAGCCACACGGGAACUGAGACACGGUCCAGACUCCGACGGGAGGCAGCAGUGGGGAAUAUUGGACAAUGGGGGCAAGCCUGAUCCAGCCAUACCGCGUGGGUGAAGAAGGCCUUCGGGUUGUAAAGCCCUUUUGUUGGGAAAGAAAAGCAGCAGGUUAAUACCCCGCUGUUCUGACGGUACCCAAAGAAUAAGCACCGGCUAACUUCGUG